AUUGAACGCUGGCGGCAUGCUUUACACAUGCAAGUCGAACGGUAACAGGUUAAGCUGACGAGUGGCGAACGGGUGAGUAAUGCAUCGGAACGUGCACGGUCGUGGGGGAUAACGCAGCGAAAGCUGCGCUAAUACCGCAUACGAUCUGAGGAUGAAAGCGGGGGACCGUAAGGCCUCGCGCGAUCGGAGCGGCCGAUGUCAGAUUAGGUAGUUGGUGGGGUAAAGGCUCACCAAGCCGACGAUCUGUAGCUGGUCUGAGAGGACGACCAGCCACACUGGGACUGAGACACGGCCCAGACUCCUACGGGAGGCAGCAGUGGGGAAUUUUGGACAAUGGGCGAAAGCCUGAUCCAGCAAUGCCGCGUGCAGGAAGAAGGCCUUCGGGUUGUAAACUGCUUUUGUACGGAGCGAAAAGGCCCUCUCUAAUACAGGGGGCUCAUGACGGUACCGUAAGAAUAAGCACCGGCUAACUGCGUGCCAGCCGCCGCCGUAAAAC
rnacentral:rRNA from 1 species